rnacentral:lncRNA from 1 species
UGAUGUUCCUGGGGUCUUUGGAAGAUUAGGGUUUGGAUUUUAGUGCUUUAUGGUAUUGUUUUUGGUUCUACGGGAGUUUGUAUGCUGUAACCUGUAGUCCAUUUAUAGCUUUUGGUCGACCCUUUUUUACCCAUGGAUUCGGUGAUUUCUGGACCCAGUUUGUAGGUCUUAGUUUUUCUGGUUUUAUUUGCUGAUUUUAUAGCUUAACAGUUUCUUUGUUGGUUGAUUGAUGCUUUUCCGAAGGGCUUAUUUUAUUGUGGAUUUAGUUUUCUUAGGAAACGAAUGAAUUUUAGCUUUAUGGCUGAAUCAUUUAUUAGUUGUUUCUCCUUUUCUUUUCUCAAUUUAAUUGAUUGGCUUCUUUAACUAUGAAAAAUAUCGUCUCUUUUUUUUAUUGCUCGAAAUUUUUAGUUGUUAUUUUCAUCUUUUUGUCAUCUUUUUUAGAUUACUUCUUGGAGAAUUCGAGCAACUUAAAGAGCAUAACAAUGUCUGUUUCCAUCAUUGCAGCUAUGGCAGCAAAUACUGCUGCCAAUAAUAAUGCAUCUUUGACUGUGGACUCCAACUCAAGGCCAAAUGCCAGGAGAAGAACAGUGGUAGUUGUGGAGAAGAAAUCAAGUGCUGAUAUGCUUACUGAAGGAGGAGUUAAUGGGGUUAGCAAGGAUAAGAUGAUUGUUAAUGGGAAGGAUCUAAGCCAUACAAUCAGGGGAGAAUCUCUGCUUGACAGAUCAAAAGACUUGUCGCAGUUGAAGAAAGAAUUGAUUGCUUCCUCCACCAUUUCACCACGGCGUAAGAAAGCUAUUCUGAAGCCACAGAAGCUGAAGUGGCAAACUGUUCUUAGCAUUCUCACCAAGAAUUUCAUGCUUCUAGCAGUUCUUUUAUGGCUGGGGCAGACAGUUUGGAGAUGGACUGAUAGUAUUCGAGACAAUACUAACUCACCAUUUUCUGCUUUGGAUUAUGAUGGUCGGAUCUCUGAAGUUCAGGCAUCUUUAAAGAAAACAGCAAAGAUGUUGCAGGUUCAGGUAGAAGCUGUAGAUCAAAAAAUCAGAAAUGAGAUUGGGAUUGUGACUAGUGAACUUAGAAAGCAAAUUGAAGAACAAGGGGCACUGUUGGAGGAGGAAUUGAAGAAGUUGGAAGUUAGGAGUGAUAGUUUAGACAAGUCUCUGACUGAAUUUAAGGACACGGGUCUCCUUUCAAAGGAAGAAUUUAGAAGAUUUUGGAAUGAGCUGAAGAGCACUAAAAGGCUAGAUGGUAGUGAUCAUGAUGUUAAUUUGGACCAAGUUAGGGCUUUUGCUAGAGAUCUUGUUAAGAAAGAGAUUGAAAAGCAUGCAGCUGAUGGUCUUGGAAGAGUUGAUUAUGCUUUAGCUUCUGGUGGGGCCAGGGUGGUCAAGCAUUCAGAGCCUUAUGGUUUUAGGAAAGUGAACAGUUGGUUUUCUGUUCGAAAUGGAGUCCCUGCUAAUGCUCAUAAAAUGUUGGAGCCGAGUUUUGGGGAGCCUGGCCAAUGUUUUCCCUUGCAAGGAAGCAGUGGGUUUGUUGAGAUUAGGCUUAGAACAGGGAUCAUACCUGAGGCUGUCACGCUGGAGCAUGUCUCUAAGGCAAGUUUUUGCUCCAGUUGUUUUUCUGCUUUUCCUUUACAGCUGUGUAGUUAUUUUGAGGUAUUUUGGUACUUAAGCAUUACUGGUUUCUUUCAUGUUAGUUCAUAUAACACCCAUUUUAACUCUUUCUUAUAUGUUAAUCAUAUAACUAUUCAUAUGGUCUGUUUCUUGAAGUAUUUGGGACUUGCAUUUUUAGUUGCUUUCUUUUAACUAUAUCUUGUAUACAGUUUCCAUUUUAACUAUUUCUUGUAUGUUAGUCAUAUAACUAUUUCUUUUCUAAGCAUGUCUUGCAUGUGACUUUAUUGAUGUAAAGAGGUGAAUUUUUGAGGUAGGAAAUUUGGAAUUUGAAAACAAUAAUGUGACUUUAUUAGGAGAUAUUAGGAGAUGUAAAGAGGUGAAUUUUUGAGGUAGGAAAUUUGGAAUUUGAAAACAAUAAUAUUAUGGCAUGGGUAAAGUUGGAAAUAUUGUAUCAAAUGGUCACUUGUGUUUUGGUCAUGGUUUGAAGUUUUGGUCAAAGCUUCUAAAUUGCUAUAAAAAAUAUUGGUUUUGGAUGUGCAACACUAUUGUUGGUUUUAGAGUUCCAGUUGAAACUAACUCUUUUUUUUCCCCUAAGAGUGGGGUGCAAAUCUGUUGUUGAUGGGAGAUUUGUAGGGAAGUUUUGCCAUUUCUUCAAAUUUGGGAGGGUAUUAUUUUCCAAAAGUAAAUGAACUCUGCCAGUUUUUAAAAUAAUUGGAAGGCGUAUGUUGGAAAGGUACAAAUUUAUCGAUAAAGUUUGUUUUUCUUGAUCUUAAAUCUUGGAAUUUAGAUUGUCAAAUGGUAGAUGGUCAUCCAGUACUCAAUGAUAUAGCAGAACCCCAAUGUGUAACAUACUUUUUAUCUUCAAUGUUUAAGAACCAGCUACAGCCCUUUUUUUUUUUGGUGUCUUUUUGUUCCAUAAUAAAUUGCGUUCUCAAUAUGGAGAUGUUCUUGCUCAAUCUUAAGGGACUUAUGUGAGUAAAAAUCUUAAUUGGUUAGUAUUAGUUUAGAACUUGUGUUGGUUAAGAUUUAUGUUUUUAUGAGCUUUUUAGUUAUUGUUCUAUUAUUUUCUCUAAAUUUAAAUUGCUUUCGGUAUUGUAACUGCAUUUUUUUGGGUAUCAUAAUUGUUGGGUCAAGUACUGGUGGCAUAAAUUCUCCUCCAAGACCUCCCCCCCCCCCCCCCCAAACAACAAAAAAAAAAG